UUGUAUUAUGACUAUCGAUCAUCAUCAUUUUUUCUUUUCUUCUUUGAACCUUGUCCUUUCUCCUACUUUA
rnacentral:ribozyme from 1 species